rnacentral:rRNA from 1 species
GGGGAAUAUUGGACAAUGGGCGCAAGCCUGAACCAGCCACGUCGCGUGAAGGAAGACGGCCCUACGGGUUGUAAACUUCUUUUAUACGGGAAUAAAGUGCCCCACGCGUGGGGUUUUGCAAGUACCGUACGAAUAAGGAUCGGCUAACUCCGUGCCAGCAGCCGCGGUAAUACGGAGGAUCCGAGCGUUAUCCGGAUUUAUUGGGUUUAAAGUGUGCUCAGGCGGGGGAUUAAGUCGGCGGUGAAAUUUUGCAGCUCAACUGUAAAAGUGCCUUCGAAACUGGUUUCCUUGAGUGCGGAUGGGGUAGGCGGAAUUUAUGGUGUGGCGGUGAAUUGCAUAGAUAUCACGAGGAACACCGAUUGCGCAGACAGAUUACCAAGCCGUAACUGACGCUCAAGCACGAAGGCGUGGGGAUCAAACA